rnacentral:rRNA from 1 species
GUACGGGGGGGCAAGCGUUGUUCGGAAUUACUGGGCGUAAAGGGCUUGUAGGCGGCCAACUAAGUCCGACGUGAAAUCCCCAGGCUUAACCUGGGAACUGCGUCGGAUACUGGAUGGCUUGAAUCCGGGAGAGGGAUGCGGAAUUCCAGGUGUAGCGGUGAAAUGCGUAGAUAUCAGGAGGAACACCGGUGGCGAAGGCGGGUCUCUGGGCAGUGA